GCUACCUACUAAGAAUCCUGCUGCAGGUCUGACACUCCUUGGUUUUAGUUCAAUCCAAAUUUAAUUUUUUCUUCUUUUUCCAGAAGUCCUGUUGGCACCAGAGUUUUCUUGCAUUUGGCCAUGGGCAGGGUUGCAGUAAAUGGUUUCCUUUCUCUUCAUUCUGGGACCCUGUGCCAGGGCAGAAGAGGAGGAAGUGAGCCUUUGAAUGCAGUUCUCUACUUGGCAUGCCUGCUCAACUGAAGCUGCAGCUACAGGUGGCCCAUGAGUGGGGAGCAUGGAGCAGGUUCCUUCCAAGGAGAGGAAGAGAUUGGUGAGACUGCUGUCUAACUGGGACCAGAAGUUUUUACCAGAGUGGUACUUGGACUGACAUCUCAGUGGUAAAUGCAAAUAAAUUAGUUAAGUACGCCUGCAUGAAAUUUUCCUGCUGAAAAACUCAUUCUAUAAAAGCAUUUAUACUGUAUUCUUUAUUGUCAGCUAAUCCAGCCCAAACUCAUUAAAUGGCAGUGUGUGGGUUACUUGCUGUCAGUGAAAUUAUCAAAGGCAUUUUUCAGCUGAUGCACUGGGAAAGCAUGUGCUCCAAUGCCAACUAAAACAAUAACGAGGAAAUGUUAUGAUCAGACUUGACCAAAUGACCUUUCCCAUUUUAGAUUAGUUCUUAAUUUCAGCACAAGGGUCAUCCUGUGAGAAUAGUUACAAUAAGUCACUGCUCACCUCUCACAUGAAAAAGAAGUGACUUAUUAGAAAUCUCACUGUACUCAUUGCAGUUAAUGAGAUGUGGAAAGCUUUAUAAUUUGAUUUGCUGGACCAUAUGCUGUAAAGGGAUACUGCUGAUUUCAUUCCUCCACAUUUAAUUUAAGCAGUAUGCAAUGGCUUCUUCAUAUGGCUACUUAUAUAAUAAAAAUUAACUUGGAGUAUAAAAAAAAUAGACCAUUGUGGGGU
rnacentral:lncRNA from 1 species